GAGUUUGAUCCUGGCUCAGAUUGAACGCUGGCGGCAGGCCUAACACAUGCAAGUCGAGCGGAUGACGGGAGCUUGCUCCUUGAUUCAGCGGCGGACGGGUGAGUAAUGCCUAGGAAUCUGCCUGGUAGUGGGGGACAACGUUUCGAAAGGAACGCUAAUACCGCAUACGUCCUACGGGAGAAAGCAGGGGACCUUCGGGCCUUGCGCUAUCAGAUGAGCCUAGGUCGGAUUAGCUAGUUGGUGGGGUAAUGGCUCACCAAGGCGACGAUCCGUAACUGGUCUGAGAGGAUGAUCAGUCACACUGGAACUGAGACACGGUCCAGACUCCUACGGGAGCAGCAGUGGGAAUAUGGACAAUGGGCGAAGCCUGAUCCAGCCAUGCCGCGUGUGUGAAGAAGGUCUUCGGAUU
rnacentral:rRNA from 1 species